AGAUACUAUUCAGCUUUUAUGCUGAUUCAUCAGCUCACAGUGAAACGAGCUUGCAUGAGAGCAUCCCAGGACCACUGAACAUUCAGAGGGCUGGAGGCAGAGAAAAACUUCCCCUACUCAAGAAAAAGAAGCUAUUUUUGUCAAGUUAAAUGAGCCUGAACCUGCAGAGCUGAAUUGGCAGAUGAAUAUUGCUAAUUGGUGCAGUUUCUUCGGUGCAGGAAAGAGUUUCCAAUCAGACCGGCAAUUCAUUGGCCACAUGAAGAUGCUGUGCUAGGGCCUGGGCAAAGCCAGACAAGAAGUGGUUCCUGCUAUCAGGCUGACUAACAUCUAUCAGAAAGAACAGAUCACGACUCAGCCUGCCUGCACCCAGGUGAAAUAAACAGCAUUUUUGCUCACACAUAGCCUGUUUGGUGGUCUCUUCACAUGGAUGCGCAUGAAAUUUGGUGCUGUGACUCGGAUCCGGAGACCUCCCUUGGGAGAUAAAAUCCCCUGUCCUCCUGCUCUUUGCUCCGUGAAAAAGAUCCACCUACGACCUCAAGUCCUCAGACCCACCAGCCCAAGGAACAUCUCACCAAUUUUAAAUCAGCAAAAUGACAUGAAUGACUGAAAAAGCAUGUGGAGCACAAGACUCAAGAACUAAGUGAAAGGACUCACACUUCCUGAUUUCAAGUAAAGCUACAGCAAUCAAGACGUGGCAUUGAUGUAAGAAUAGACACAUCAAUGAAUGAAACAGAAUACAUCUUCCAGAAAUAAAUUCACACAAAUAUAGUCAAGAGGUUUUUUGUGUGCUAAAGUGUAUAUAAUAUUUACCAUUUUAACCAUUUUUAAGUGCACAGUUCAGAAGCAUUAAGAAUAAACAAUGUUGUAUAACCAUCACCAUUAUCCAGUUCCAGAAUUUUUCAUCACCUCACACAGAAACUCUGUACCUAUUAUCAACAAUAAAUUUUCAUUCCCCCCUUGCCCUCAGUCUCUGGUAACCACUAUUGAACUUUCUGUUUCUAUGAAUUUGCCCCUUCUCAGUGCCUAAUAUGAGUGGAAUAAUACAAUAUGGGUCCUUUGUGCCUAGUUUAUUUCACUUACUGUAAUGUUUUCAAGGUUCAUCCAUGUUAUAAUAUGGAUCAGAAUUUUAUUUCUUUUCAAGCAUGAAUAAUAGUCCAUGGUAUGUCUAUACCACAUUGUUUAUCCAUUCAUCAGCUGAUGGAUAUUUGGGGGUUGUUUCUAUCUUUUGGCUAUUGUAAAUGAUGAUGUUAUGAACAAUGGUGUAUAAUGUCUGUUUGAGCACUGCUUUGAAUUGUUUGGGGUAUAUACUUAGGAGCGGAAUUACUGGAUCAUAUGUCAAUUCUAUGUUUAAUUUUUGAGGAACUGUCGAGCUGUCUUUCACAGCAGCUGCAUAAUUUUACAUUCCCACCACAAUGCAUAAGAGCUUCAGUUUCUCAAAAUCUUUACCAACAUUUAUUUUUCUUUUUAAAAAUAUAUAAUAGCCAUACUAAUAGUAUAAAGUAAUAUUUCAUUGUGCAUUUGAUUUGCAUUUCCCUAAUGAUAACUGAUGUUGAGCAUCUUUUCACGUGCUUGUUGACCAUUUGUAUAUCUUCUUUUGAGAUAUGUCUAAUCAAGUCCUUUGUCCAUUUUUUAAUUGGGCUGGGUAUUAUUCUUCUGUUAUUGUUGAGUUGCAGGAGUUCUUUAUAUAUUCUGCAUAAAAGUUCCUUAUCAUAUAUUGAUUUUCAAAAUCUCUCUCCUAUUCUAUGGGUUGUUUUGAUUUUUUUUUUUUUUUUGCUUUCUCAACAGUGUCCUUUAAUGUGUAAAAUCUUUUAAUUUUGAUGAAGUCCAGUGUAUCUACUUUUUUCUUUUGUUGCCUGUGAUUUUGUUGGCAUUUUCAAUAAAUCACUGCCAGAUCUAAUGUU
rnacentral:lncRNA from 10 species